rnacentral:piRNA from 1 species
UACAAUUACUCUUGAGGAUGCUAUCGUU